rnacentral:rRNA from 1 species
AGAGUUUGAUCCUGGCUCAGAGCGAACGCUGGCGGCAGGCUUAACACAUGCAAGUCGAGCGGGCGUAGCAAUACGUCAGCGGCAGACGGGUGAGUAACGCGUGGGAACGUACCUUUUGGUUCGGAGCAACACAGGGAAACUUGUGCUAAUACCGGAUAAGCCCUUACGGGGAAAGAUUUAUCGCCGAAAGAUCGGCCCGCGUCUGAUUAGCUAGUUGGUGAGGUAACGGCCCACCAAGGCGACGAUCAGUAGCUGGUCUGAGAGGAUGAUCAGCCACAUUGGGACUGAGACACGGCCCAAACUCCUACGGGAGGCAGCAGUGGGGAAUAUUGGACAAUGGGCGCAAGCCUGAUCCAGCCAUGCCGCGUGAGUGAUGAAGGCCCUAGGGUUGUAAAGCUCUUUUGUGCGGGAAGAUAAUGACGGUACCGCAAGAAUAAGCCCCGGCUAACUUCGUGCCAGCAGCCGCGGUAAUACGAAGGGGGCUAGCGUUGCUCGGAAUCACUGGGCGUAAAGGGUGCGUAGGCGGGUCUUUAAGUCAGGGGUGAAAUCCUGGAGCUCAACUCCAGAACUGCCUUUGAUACUGAAGAUCUUGAGUUCGGGAGAGGUGAGUGGAACUGCGAGUGUAGAGGUGAAAUUCGUAGAUAUUCGCAAGAACACCAGUGGCGAAGGCGGCUCACUGGCCCGAUACUGACGCUGAGGCACGAAAGCGUGGGGAGCAACAGGAUUAGAUACCCUGGUAGUCCACGCCGUAAACGAUGAAUGCCAGCCGUUAGUGGGUUUACUCACUAGUGGCGCAGCUA